AGAAGGCAGGUAACAAGUUUGGGGACCCCCAUGGAUGAGCAGAAGGACCUUUUAAGUAACGUUAACUUCUCACUGGGAAGGACGGUGAGUUCACAUCUGCCUCCUGGUCCCUACGGGGCAAAUUUUUACUUCCCUCUCCUACUAUGAGGGGAAGAAAGUGCUGGGACUCGGACACUCUGGAGACAGCUUCUGGGGUUGAGUACAACCACAACUUCCAGGCAGACGUCUCCCUAAGGGGUCCUUUCCUUGGAUCUGGGCUGGGAUUCAAACUCCAGCCUUGAUGACUUGCAAGCCUCGGUUGAAACCACAUGGCCCAGGGUAGAGCUUCUCGAGUGGAGGGAGGAGGAGGGCACAGUUCACAGUGAGCGUGGGCAGCUGCCUCAGCCCUGGUUUAGCUCUUGGGAGUCCUGUGAUGCCUAGAUCCUGGAGCUGUUUAGAAGCUUUGCACUUUAACCCAACUCUGAGCAAGUAGUCAGAAUAGAUUCUACUGGCUCCUGCGGGUGUGGCUUGGAAGAAGGCACCAGGGCACCCUCUAUCAUCCUCGGCCCUGAUGCUCUUUGGACUUCUAACAGGAACUGAACGGACACUUCCAGUGGUGAGAAUGAGCCACGGAAAGAUGGUGCCAUCUCAGUCAUGACCAAUCAGGACUACUUCCUGGCUGCCUGCCCAGCCUUCUUCUUGAGAGUCAGUUCAGCAGGGAGUGAUGCACCACAACAGCCCCACACGGAAGCCUGGGAGGCAGAGGGAUGGGACUCCAGACCUGAGCCCACACAGCUGUGCUUUAAGCAGUAAGCCAAGCCAAGAAUGGGGAGGUGAAGAGGAGCUGGAACAGACCCAAGGAGCGAGAGCUGAAGCAGCUGGGCCAGGAACGACUGGGGAACCUGGAGGAAGUCUGGGAGAGGUCCAGGUUCAGCAGGCCUGGAUUCCCAACCACAAAGGGCCAGGGUCACAAGGGACCUCUAGUAAGCCAGGAGGCAAAGCACAUGAAGACGGCAGAGACCCUGACAGCUGGGUACAGAAUGCUCACAGAUUAAAAGAGGGCAGAUGGUAAAAAAGCUAUACCUCAACGACUGUCAGGUUCCUUCUUUCCAUAAACUUUGCUUAAGUUCAUAUAAAUCAAUCAAUCAAUCAAUCAAUCAAUCAAUCAAUCAAUCAAUCAUGCUCACUUCACGGUGGAAACAUUUAUAUUACCAAGUCUGGCUGCCAGCACAAAGUACCCCUUUGG
rnacentral:lncRNA from 1 species